GUAGCUUGCUACAUUACCUAGCGGCGGACGGGUGAGUAAUGCUUAGGAAUCUGCCUAUUAGUGGGGGACAACAUUCCGAAAGGAAUGCUAAUACCGCAUACGUCCUACGGGAGAAAGCAGGGGACCUUCGGGCCUUGCGCUAAUAGAUGAGCCUAAGUCGGAUUAGCUAGUUGGUGGGGUAAAGGCCUACCAAGGCGACGAUCUGUAGCGGGUCUGAGAGGAUGAUCCGCCACACUGGGACUGAGACACGGCCCAGACUCCUACGGGAGGCAGCAGUGGGGAAUAUUGGACAAUGGGGGGAACCCUGAUCCAGCCAUGCCGCGUGUGUGAAGAAGGCCUUUUGGUUGUAAAGCACUUUAAGCGAGGAGGAGGCUACUAGUAUUAAUACUACUGGAUAGUGGACGUUACUCGCAGAAUAAGCACCGGCUAACUCUGUGCCAGCAGCCGCGGUAAUACAGAGGGUGCGAGCGUUAAUCGGAUUUACUGGGCGUAAAGCGUGCGUAGGCGGCUGAUUAAGUCGGAUGUGAAAUCCCUGAGCUUAACUUAGGAAUUGCAUUCGAUACUGGUCAGCUAGAGUAUGGGAGAGGAUGGUAGAAUUCCAGGUGUAGCGGUGAAAUGCGUAGAGAUCUGGAGGAAUACCGAUGGCGAAGGCAGCCAUCUGGCCUAAUACUGACGCUGAGGUACGAAAGCAUGGGGAGCAAACAGGAUUAGAUACCCUGGUAGUCCAUGCCGUAAACGAUGUCUACUAGCCGUUGGGG
rnacentral:rRNA from 1 species